rnacentral:rRNA from 1 species
AGCGUCUGGAAAGGCGUGCGAUACAGGGUGACAGCCCCGUACACAAAAAUGCACAUACUGUGAGCUCGAUGAGUAGGGCGGGACACGUGGUAUCCUGUCUGAAUAUGGGGGGACCAUCCUCCAAGGCUAAAUACUCCUGACUGACCGAUAGUGAACCAGUACCGUGAGGGAAAGGCGAAAAGAACCCCGGCGAGGGGAGUGAAAAAGAACCUGAAACCGUGUACGUACAAGCAGUGGGAGCACGCUUAGGCGUGUGACUGCGUACCUUUUGUAUAAUGGGUCAGCGACUUAUAUUCUGUAGCAAGGUUAACCGAAUAGGGGAGCCGAAGGGAAACCGAGUCUUAACUGGGCGUUAAGUUGCAGGGUAUAGACCCGAAACCCGGUGAUCUAGCCAUGGGCAGGUUGAAGGUUGGGUAACACUAACUGGAGGACCGAACCGACUAAUGUUGAAAAAUUAGCGGAUGACUUGUGGCUGGGGGUGAAAGGCCAAUCAAACCGGGAGAUAGCUGGUUCUCCCCGAAAGCUAUUUAGGUAGCGCCUCGUGAAUUCAUCUCCGGGGGUAGAGCACUGUUUCGGCAAGGGGGUCAUCCCGACUUACCAACCCGAUGCAAACUGCGAAUACCGGAGAAUGUUAUCACGGGAGACACACGGCGGGUGCUAACGUCCGUCGUGAAGAGGGAAACAACCCAGACCGCCAGCUAAGGUCCCAAAGUCAUGGUUAAGUGGGAAACGAUGUGGGAAGGCCCAGACAGCCAGGAUGUUGGCUUAGAAGCAGCCAUCAUUUAAAGAAAGCGUAAUAGCUCACUGGUCGAGUCGGCCUGCGCGGAAGAUGUAACGGGGCUAAACCAUG